UACGAAGGGGACUAGCGUUGUUCGGAAUCACUGGGCGUAAAGCGCACGUAGGCGGGUCGUUAAGUCAGGGGUGAAAUCCCAGAGCUCAACUCUGGAACUGCCUUUGAUACUGGCGACCUUGAGGCCGGAAGAGGUUAGUGGAAUUCCCAGUGUAGAGGUGAAAUUCGUAGAUAUCGGGAGGAACACCAGUGGCGAAGGCGGUUGCCUGGAGCUUUGCUGACGCUGAUGCGCGAAAGCGUGGGGAGCGAUCCGG
rnacentral:rRNA from 1 species